rnacentral:rRNA from 1 species
UUUAUGUCCAGGGCUACACACGUGCUACAAUGGGCGGAACAAAGGGUUGCAAUACCGCAAGGUGGAGCUAAUCUCAAAAAACCGCUCUCAGUUCAGAUUGGAGUCUGCAACUCGACUCCAUGAAGGCGGAAUCGCUAGUAAUCGCGGAUCAGCAUGCCGCGGUGAAUACGUUCCCGGGCCUU